rnacentral:rRNA from 1 species
GUCCACGCCGUAAACGAUGUCUGCUAGCCGUUGGGUCGCUUGACGACUCGGUGGCGGAGCUAACGCGAUAAGCAGACCGCCUGGGGAGUACGGCCGCAAGGUUAAAACUCAAAUGAAUUGACGGGGGCCCCGCACAAGCGGUGGAGUAUGUGGUUUAAUUCGACGCAACGCGAAAACCUUACCCGGUCUUGACAUCCUGGGAACCCUUUAGAGAUAGAGGGGUGCCGCAAGGAGCCCAGAGACAGGUGCUGCAUGGCUGUCGU